rnacentral:rRNA from 1 species
CCUUGGUGACUGAGCGGCGGACGGGUGGGUAACGCGUGGGUAACCUUCCUCGUACAGGGGGAUAACAGUUGGAAACGGCUGCUAAUACCGCAUAAGCGCACAGUACCGCAUGGUACGGUGUGAAAAACUCCGGUGGUAUGAGAUGGACCCGCGUCUGAUUAGGUAGUUGGUGGGGUAACGGCCUACCAAGCCGACGAUCAGUAGCCGACCUGAGAGGGUGACCGGCCACAUUGGGACUGAGACACGGCCCAA